CAGAUAGAAAAGAUAGUUCAGCACUUGCUGAAUAGAAGUAAGAAUGGGGGAGACCCCUUUUCGCCUUGACCAAGUGGAAAAACUCUCACUUAGCCAGGCUUCAACAGGACAAACUUCCAGCUGAGAGGAGAAAACCACAUCACCUGCUACUGACUGCUUAAAAUUAAGAGCUCAAAAACUGAAAUUCCCUUUUACAAGAUCCCUUUUCAGAGCUCUACACUAGCAGCCUAUCUCUGCACAAUUUAAUGUGAAAAAUUAAGGCAGACUCUUACCAAAUAUAGAAGUAGUGACCAUAAACUAGAGGUGGAAACAGGACACACAAAGCACAGCACCUACACAGAGAAGUGAUUUCACAACGAAUCUGGGAGAAGAGAAAAGCUUCUUUUUGCGCCACAGUCCAAAGUACAAGGAAAUAGGAAAGACUUACUCAUAUAUUAUGAAAAAACCAUUUACAUUAAAAAGCAAUGAGUGGAAAGAGACAUAAAUUUGAAUGGGACCUGAUCUGGGAGUCAUGCUCAAAGGCCACCUAGCUGCUUAGGCCCCAUAUGUGAUUUAUGCAGCCAAAUGCCUACCUUCUCCUGGCUUGUGAAUCACUUUGGGGCCAAGGUGGGGGAUAAGUCUCUGGAUGCCUACAGUGGAUCACCAGGGCACAUACCCCAGAGUUUUAAAAACUUAAGCACCUGGGGAAUUUUUACAGUGGAAAGUUAGGCAGAGUGAGUUUAAGCAUCUACACCAGUGGUUUUCAACCUUUUCUCAUCUAUGGACCCCUACAAGUUUUCAAAUGGAGGUGCGGACCCUUUUGGAAAUUUCAUCUGUGGUCCAUGGACCCCUACCAUAGAAGUCUUAGACUGAAAACUGACUGAACAGAAUUCAAUUAUAAAUGUUGCACAUCCUUAGCACAGCAUUUGAUGCAGCGUGAGAAAGGGCGCUGAACUGUGAGCUCCUAUGGUAAUGAUAACACUUCCAGGUUUUGUCCUGUAGGCGGGGUAUUCACAUACUUUUGAUCAGAAAAACAGAAAGCCUUUCCUGGGAUCUGAAAUUUAAUUUUCAUAGUUACCUAUUGCAGACGCCUCAGACAUAGUCUGUGGACCCCCAGUUGAAAACCACUAGUCUCCAGGGUUAGGUGGCAGCCAAGCAGGAAUUUCACGGAGUGCAGCGGUACUGCAUACAGGACUUAGGCACCUAAACUGCUUUGUAAAUCACACCUUUAAAGUUUAGAAAGACUUAGUUUUCAGUUAUAUCAGCAGGUACCGGAGAACUUAGACCUAGAAAUAUCUACUCAAAUUAAGAGUUACAACAAAAUAGUCAGACUAUCCAAUGCUAUCCUCACUCCACUAACUGUAUUCCUAACCACAACAACAGCUUUUCUAUACAGAUAGGUCUGCCCUAAAUAUAGGUUUCAAGAAACCAGUCUAGAAGACUGCAUCGCUGGGGGAGGGAGGGCAGAGGGGAAAGACAACUUUAACACCAGAAUGUCUUUGGUGUAUGUCCACACCUAACACUGGAUAGCAAACAGUUGUUUAUCUGAGUUAUUUUUAACCACCUAAACCUCCCUAGAAUAGGGUUACCAUAUUUCAGGUUCCCCAAAAGAGGACAUUGGGAGGGGAAACUGGAAAGAGGUACAGUUGGGGGAGCUGCAGGGGAUACCUGCGGCAGUGGUACUCACUGGAGGUGGGAGGCAGUGUCGCGCCCUGUCAUGGUGGCAGGACAGCUGGCACAAGCCCAGGACGCAGCAACAGCUCUCAGUCAGUGCAUCCCUAGGCCUGUGUGGGCAGGACCCAGCAGCUUUGGCUGCAGGGGAAUGGACCAAACAGUUGCUGAUGCAGGGGAGUACCAAUCAGGAAGCAGUCCAAUCAGAGUUCUUUCUGAGCUGCAGCCUCUGCUCCGAAAAAAUCCCAGACAUUUCCUGUUUGAAAAAUCCACCCAGACAUAGGAAAAGAGGAAAUAUCUAGGAAAACCUGGACAUAUGGUAACCGUACCCUAGAAUGACAAGAUUUGAACCUAUUGUACUCACACAAUCAUUCUGAAAAAUUCAUAAUCUUAAAACUACAGAAAACCAGAAGCCUCCAAAGCCAUUUCCCUCUGUGAUACAAGUGAUCUGUCCCCACAGCUGAACUAUUUGUUACUACUCUGAUAUAAUGGAUAAUGUACACCAAAUUCUUAAGCUAACUAAACCACCACAACCCUACUUGCCUUUUCUUCAAGAAUCUCAUCUGUUUUGUAAGUAAAAAGGUGAGAAACAGCUUUAAUCAGGAUUACUUCAAAGAUGUGAGUACCAUUUAUACUAACUACUAUUAAUAUUCCUUCUAACCAACUUCAUUGUAGCUACAGGAGAGGAACUUGAAGGUUUAGUGAGGUUUUUAGGUAUUCCACAUGUCUGUUACAAGACAGCGACAGACAUAAAAAUGGCAAUUGUAUGUCCACUUUACAGAGGUUGAAGGAACUAGAGGAAGAUGAUCAGUCCUUUAUACUAAACUAAAAAUAAAGAUGGCAAGUGUCUGAUUUCCCCAAAGCUCAUCUUAUUUUUAAGUGGUUCAAAGGAUCAUUUACAGCUUAGUUUAUAGAUUAAUUAAUGAUUACGUUUAUUUUGUUUUUCACAUGUAAUGAUCUUGCUUCUUCAUUCUACCACAUAUGCUAAAUGAGGAACAGAAUACUUCAUUUUCUUCUUGUUUUUCUGUACCUAGAGCAAAGCAUUUUAUCCUAAUUUUCCCUCCAUACGCAGGUAUUGUUCAUUGAUUAGCACCAUGAUGCUUUUUAGUUUGUGUGGAGGUUGCAGCUGUUGGUCCUUUCUGUAUAUUCCAUUUCAUGCUGAUUGAGCUGCAGCUGUAACAAACUAGAUCUCUAUUAGUUUAAAAAUAAAACCCUAAACAAUGUUUUCAGUAUGUUCUUAAAGUUCCUCCAUACCUACCUCUGCUUUUUAAGCAGCUGCCUGCAACUAUUUUGAAGCUUCUAGCUUUGGUUUUUUUUAAACAUUUGUAGUGUUAAAUAUCUUGUUUAAAACAA